rnacentral:rRNA from 1 species
UAUUUUAAAGAGAGUUUGAUCCUGGCUCAGGACGAACGCUGGCGGCGUGCCUAAUACAUGCAAGUCGAACGAACGGAGGAAGAGCUUGCUCUUCCAAAGUUAGUGGCGGACGGGUGAGUAACACGUGGGCAACCUGCCUGUAAGUUGGGGAUAACUCCGGGAAACCGGGGCUAAUACCGAAUGAUC